UCUACGUACUAUGGUUUACACAUGUUUACAUGUAUCAGGCAUGUCCUAAGAUUUUCCUCUAAUAGAGGUUUGUUUUUUGGUAAGAGAGAUCAAAUAUAUCUCAAUACACGGGGAGAUAGUUAACACAAGGAAGGGUAAUUUAUUGGUGUGAUACAUUGCAUAGCUGAAGAAUAUACUAAAGUUGAACACAUCUUUGUGACAGAUUUUCUGCAUAAAUUCUAUUAACAUGCUGCACCUGCAAAUCGAUAAUGAGAGGAUUAUCAAAUCUGUAGCAUAUGCCUGUGGUAAUGAAGAAUAAUUCCUCCAUCGUUAACCUUAGUUGAUCCCUGACAACUCACGUAUGAUUUAUUGAGUCUGUCGAAUUAUUAUCUCAAACAAACUUUCUUCUCGGGUCAUGGUACCAAGGCUGCUGUUUAAGAUGUCUGGCAGAGAGAGUUCUGGAUUUGACAACUGUCUGUAAGCUACAACAACCUACAGAACUUUGCCUGUUGGUCACAUUUCUGAAACAUGAAGCUUACAGUUGAGACGGCCAAUCUUUAUCUUUCAUUCUGCUGGGGUAGUCUUUUUGCCCCAAGGUUAUAUUGGCUGCAUGGUACAGAGAAGGUUAAAUUCAUGUUUGUUCCAACACAGGGCACUGAAAUAAGUUAAUAACAAAAGGGUUAUCGUCAUGUGGAUUGUAUUGGAUAGAUUGCGGAACAUGAAACAUGUAUUGGAUUUUGAGUUUUCAUCAAACAUUUCAAUAAUUCAGUGUACUUUCAACUCCAUACAGGAACUUCCCAGGACAAAAUUAUGACCUAGUGCCGAGUGUGAAGCCUGGCUCUGCUAGUUUUCAUCAAAAUCCUAUUUCCUUUAUCAACAGAUUUUCCUUUUGCACCUGGAGGUCAAAGGCCAAGGCAAAGCUUCCAGACAUGCCCAUACAUUUCCUUCAAACAAGCAACUUUUUUUGACAGCUGAUGUUAUUAAUGACUUCAGCAAGCAUGUCGGCAUGUAAAGGUUAUGGGUUUGAUAAAUUUGGAGAGAAACAAGUCAAAACAGAGAGGAGUUACUGUCUGGCCUGUAAAACUUCUACUGAUCUGUUUCCUGUGAGCCAUGCUGAUGACUAGCAUCCAGAUGAAACAAAGGAGAGACAUAAAAAGGGUUAAAAAUUCUUUGUAGGAAUCACACUUUUCAAAAGUUCAAAAUCCGUUGGACACUAAGGAGUAUAUCAUCCAGAUAUGUGAAAAUGAUAAAACAAAAAUUAAAUGUGGACUUUAUCUUCAGGCAUCCAUGGAUACUGAGUAGCACAUUUAGAGGAUUUCAAUCUUCCAAUCUACACUUUGACAAUAAAUUAAUGAUGACAAAAAUCAAAAGAUUGUCUCUUUUCCAAUGUGUAUGUUUAAAUAUGCUGUGAAAGUCCAUUGCACUUUUGCAAUAUUCUAGACACUUGUAUUUGUGCAUAAAAGACUUGUUAUAAGGUACCGGUAGUAUUUCUUCCACCUAAUGUUACAGUUAUAGUACUAUGGUAUAGUAUACAUCAGAAAUUGGAAAUUAUCUUUACGUUUUGAACAUUAUUAUUCCCAUCACAUGCGCCUGUCUGUGCUGGUGCCUUUAUGGUGCCUGAUCCAAAUGCACACUCCAACUUCUGACAGCUCCGGCAAUAAUUAAUGACUUCCCCUGCCCCCAGCCAAGUGGGAGGAGAUGUUUUGAAGAUAAUGUUGGUGGGAAAAAAUUCAAAAUAAGGGAAGUUCUGUGUGAACGGCAAAUUUGCGAACCGCCUGGCCCUGAGACAGUAUGUAAAUGAGGAAGUUACAGCCUCCCCCUACAACAGUCUGCUACUCCAUACUUGGGAACAGUUGCGAGUCUGGAGCCCACAGGAGCAGGGUGGGGAGAGGCUUCUAGCAGGAGCAGUGGGACCAUUCACUGGGAGAUAGACGUACAGGCUUUACUCUCUGAUAGCAGUUAGGUGAUCCAUGUGAGUGACUUACCGGGCUGGACAGAAUGCCCUCCUGCAGGCACAGGAUGGACUCGUUCACAAAACGUGUUAUCAGACGCAUCUUGAUGUCCUCGUCUGUAUUGCUACAUCAACAAAACAACAACAGCUGCGUUAGGAGCACGUCACUUGCAGACACCCCUUGGAUUCAAUGCGAAACCUCUUGAAGAUUUCCUCAGCACCAGGGUUCAGCUCACGGCCCUUCUUGCCCUUGCCCCCGCUGUACAGACAAAAUGCAGCCUUACCAAGGAAGCCCUGGCUGACCAUGGUCUUCAGCACCUCAGGAUCACCGCCUCCGAACCUGACUCCAAACUCCUUCUGCAGAUCCUCCGCCACGUGGGACCCCACAUCAAUACCGACCUCGUCCAGCAGUGUUGCCGUGCCUACGGGAAAACCUGCCCUCGUAGUCAGCUGGUCCAGUUUCUGAGGGCCCUCUCCCUCCUAGGACAACAUAAGGAACUGUCUGACCUGCAGGAGCCUGAUGAUCUCCGACAGAGUUGGCGCCAGGACCCUGGUGGUGUAGAAUCCAGGGCCGUCCUGCACGACGAUGGGGUACUUUCCCUGCUUCAGACCCACUGCUACAGCUGCCGCACACGUCUCCUU